GCAGAGAUAAAAACACGUAAGCCGGUUGGUAGUCCGGCGCCGCAAUAGCGGUCAGUAACCUGCCUCCUAGGGUUGUCCGUUCUCUGUAGG
rnacentral:ncRNA from 1 species